CCCUUAGAUGUUCUGGGCCGCACGCGUGCUACACUGAGUAAUUCAAUGGGUAAGGGAACGCUAGAGCAUUACCUAAUCUUGAAAUUUGCUCGUGAUGGGGAUCGACGGUUGCAAUUUUCCGUCGUGAACGAGGAAUGCCUAGUAGGCGCAAGUCAUCAGCUUGCGUCGAUUACGUCCCUGCCCUUUGUACACACCGCCCGUCGCUCCUACCGAUUGGGUGUGCUGGUGAAAUGUUCGGAUCGGCCGUUUGUCGCGGUUUCCGCGUCAUGUGGCUGAGAAGUUCAUUAAACCCUCCCACCUAGAGGAAGGAGAAGUCGUAACA
rnacentral:rRNA from 1 species